rnacentral:misc_RNA from 1 species
GAUGAAGAACGUAGCGAAAUGCGAUAAGUAAUGUGAAUUGCAGAAUUCAGUGAAUCAUCGAAUCUUUGAACGCACAUUGCGCCCUCUGGUAUUCCGGGGGGCAUGCCUGUUCGAGCGUCAUUAUAACCACUCAAGCUCUCGCUUGGUAUUGGGGUUCGCGGUUUCGCGGCCCCUAAAAUCAGUGGCGGUGCCUGUCGGCUCUACGCGUAGUAAUACUUCUCGCGAUUGAGUUCGAUAGGUCUACUUGCAAGUAACCCCCAAUUUUUACAGGUGGACCUCGGAUCAGGUAGGGAUACCCGCUGAACUUAAGCAUAUCAAUAAGCGGAGGA